UGCAUGGCUGUCGUCAGCUCGUGCUGUGAAGUGUCGGGUUAAGUCCCUUAACGAGCGCAACCCCUAUCGCUAGUUGCCAGCACUCCGGGUGGGGACUCUAGCGAGACCGCCGGUGUCAAACCGGAGGAAGGUGGGGAUGACGUCAAGUCCGCAUGGCCUUUAUGCCCAGGGCUGCAAACGUGCUACAAUGGCGCGGACAGAGCGACGCGAUGCCGCGAGGCGGAGCAAAUCGCAAAAACCGCGCCCCAGUUCGGAUUGGAGUCUGCAACUCGACUCCAUGAAGUCGGAAUCGCUAGUAAUCGGAGAUCAGCUACGCUCCGGUGAAUACGUUCCUGAGCCUUGUACACACCGCCCGUCAAGUCAUGGAAGCCGGGAGCGCCCGAAGUCGCCGCGAUUCAGCGGCGCCUACGGCGAGCUCGGUGACUGGGACUAAGUCGUAACAAGGUAGCCGUAGGAGAACCUGCGGCUGGAUCACCUCCUUUCUA
rnacentral:rRNA from 1 species